rnacentral:rRNA from 1 species
UAGGGAAUCUUCGGCAAUGGACGAAAGUCUGACCGAGCAACGCCGCGUGAGUGAAGAAGGUUUUCGGAUCGUAAAACUCUGUUGUUAGAGAAGAACAAGGACGUUAGUAACUGAACGUCCCCUGACGGUAUCUAACCAGAAAGCCACGGCUAACUACGUGCCAGCAGCCGCGGUAAUACGUAGGUGGCAAGCGUUGUCCGGAUUUAUUGGGCGUAAAGCGAGCGCAGGCGGGUUCUUAAGUCUGAUGUGAAAGCCCCCGGCUCAACCGGGGAGGGUCAUUGGAAACUGGGAGACUUGAGGGCAGAAGAGGAGAGUGGAAUUCCAUGUGUAGCGGUGAAAUGCGUAGAUAUAUGGAGGAACACCAGUGGCGAAGGCGGCUCUCUGGUCUGUAACUGACGCUGAGGCUCGAAAGCGUGGGGAGCAAACAGG